rnacentral:tRNA from 1 species
UAUUUAAAUAGUUUAGGAAGAAUAAAAUUUUGAAGAGAUUUAGGCAGUAUUAUAUACUUUUAAAU